AGAGAGGCUGGCAUGUCUCCAUGCAAGCUGAACCUGUCUGUUUUUUCCAUAAGAGCCUCAUUGUCCCUGAAAGGUUGGAGGAAGUGCGUCUGUAAUUAAGAUAUACACGAAAAAUGGGCGAACCAUUAGGAUAAAACCAUUUCCUCCGUACACAGCCGUGAAAUUGAAGAACCAAGUACAUUUCCGGUUGCUGGAAUCUUGUGAUCUGAGGCUGAGAUCUGGGUUGGCAUCACGGUGAUCACGGCACCAUGUCGAGUUCUAGGAGAUUUUUUCAGUCCAUGCUGAGAAGUCAUCCAUCUUCUAGUAUCCUGUUCCCGGUUUGAAGAGGGAUAAUCGACUAGUCAGAAGGGGAGAACAAGCUGAGCAAGGACGCAUCUGCUUGCACUAAUCUCUUUGAGGGCUUCCA